rnacentral:rRNA from 1 species
GAUGAACGCUGGCGGCGUGCUUAACACAUGCAAGUCGAACGGAAAGGCCACAGCUUGCUGUGGUACUCGAGUGGCGAACGGGUGAGUAACACGUGGGUGAUCUGCCCUGUACUUCGGGAUAAGCUUGGGAAACUGGGUCUAAUACCGGAUAGGAAUCACAUGUGGGUGUGUGGUUGGAAAGCUUUUGCGGUAUGGGAUGAGCUCGCGGCCUAUCAGCUUGUUGGUGGGGUAAUGGCCUACCAAGGCGUCGACGGGUAGCCGGCCUGAGAGGGUGUACGGCCACAUUGGGACUGAGAUACGGCCCAGACUCCUACGGGAGGCAGCAGUGGGGAAUAUUGCACAAUGGGCGCAAGCCUGAUGCAGCGACGCCGCGUGGGGGAUGACGGCCUUCGGGUUGUAAACUCCUUUCGUCAGGGACGAAGCGAAAGUGACGGUACCUGGAUAAGAAGCACCGGCUAACUACGUGCCAGCAGCCGCGGUAAUACGUAGGGUGCGAGCGUUGUCCGGAAUUACUGGGCGUAAAGAGCUCGUAGGUGGUUUGUCGCGUCGUUUGUGUAAGUCCACGGCUUAACUGUGGGAUGGCAGGCGAUACGGGCAUAACUUGAGUGCUGUAGGGGAGACUGGAAUUCCUGGUGUAGCGGUGAAAUGCGCAGAUAUCAGGAGGAACACCGAUGGCGAAGGCAGGUCUCUGGGCAGUAACUGACGCUGAGGAGCGAAAGCAUGGGUAGCGAACAGGAUUAGAUACCCUGGUAGUCCAUGCCGUAAACGGUGGGCGCUAGGUGUGAGUCCCUUCCACGGGGUUCGUGCCGUAGCUAACGCAUUAAGCGCCCCGCCUGGGGAGUACGGCCGCAAGGCUAAAACUCAAAGGAAUUGACGGGGGCCCGCACAAGCGGCGGAGCAUGUGGAUUAAUUCGAUGCA